AGGGUGGUAGUUCAGUUGGUUAGAAUUCGCGCUUUGGGAGCGUGAGGUCGCCGGUUCGAGUCCGGCUCACCCUA
rnacentral:tRNA from 1 species